GUACGUCUUCGGGGCGGGGUGCAAGUCCCCACCGGCGGUAAGGCCGCAAGGCCAAGCCCGCGAGCGCCUUCAUGUGAAGGGUCAGCAGAUCUGGUGCGAAUCCAGAGCCGACGGUAAUAGUCCGGAUGAAAGAAGAUGACG
rnacentral:ncRNA from 2 species